GGGAACUAGAAAUUAUGUGUUUGCCCAGCCAGAUACACAUGCAACCUCAAAAAUGAAAUAAAUAGAAGGUAUAUCCAAAGAAAGAAACCCACUUUACAAUUACACAUGCAUAUUACAAAUUUACACUAUGAUGCAAUUUUUGGCAUCUCGCAAUAGCUUGCUUGUGACGUUCACGAUAAAAGGAAGACCGACAUCCAAAAGUGGGACCCCCGAAAUGCAACAAGUAUGAAAAGCAAGAUCGUAUAUUACUCAUGAAGUGUGAACUUCCAAGUUGCCAGAAAGGUUAAGAUUCAGCAUGAUGAGCCUGGGCCAUGGAAAAAUCAACCACACUUUAUUCCCCCUUCAGAUGAGGUCAUAGCAUUCUAUGGGUCCAACAAGAAUGAAUCAAAAGCUCCGGUGAGAAGUACUGGGUGAUGCUACCAAUUUUCUAAAAUAGCUUUGAUUGCACUGGCAUCGUACAAUCAAUAUCAUCCUCAAGAUCGCUAAAUGAAAUUUCCUCCUCAUUUCCCGUUAAAAUGCCGGUGCCAGAGUAGCACUCUGACUCUUCAAUAUCUUGUACCCAAUCAUCCUCAUGCUCAUCAUAAUCCAAGAACAAUGGUUUAGAUGGACCAGCCACCAACUCCUUUUCUAAGAUCUUACUAGGAGGAUUUUCUACAAUAGCCUCAUCAAUAAACUGGAUCUU
rnacentral:misc_RNA from 1 species